UGGGGAAUAUUGGACAAUGGGGGAACCCUGAUCCAGCCAUGCCGCGUGUGUGAAGAAGGCCUUAUGGUUGUAAAGCACUUUAAGCGAGGAGGAGGCUACUGAGACUAAUACUCUUGGAUAGUGGACGUUACUCGCAGAAUAAGCACCGGCUAACUCUGUGCCAGCAGCCGCGGUAAUACAGAGGGUGCGAGCGUUAAUCGGAUUUACUGGGCGUAAAGCGUGCGUAGGCGGCUUUUUAAGUCGGAUGUGAAAUCCCCGAGCUUAACUUGGGAAUUGCAUUCGAUACUGGGAAGCUAGAGUAUGGGAGAGGAUGGUAGAAUUCCAGGUGUAGCGGUGAAAUGCGUAGAGAUCUGGAGGAAUACCGAUGGCGAAGGCAGCCAUCUGGCCUAAUACUGACGCUGAGGUACGAAAGCAUGGGGAGCAAACAGGAUUAGAUACCCUGGUAGUCCAUGCCGUAAACGAUGUCUACUAGCCGUUGGGGCCUUUGAGGCUUUAGUGGCGCAGCUAACGCGAUAAGUAGACCGCCUGGGGAGUAC
rnacentral:rRNA from 1 species